CUCUGCUUAAAACUUACAUUGAAUUCAAUGUGUUAAUCGGGUGCGUUUCUCUUUUUUUGGACCACAUGGAUUCUUUAUUAACUGAAACUCACUGAAAACAGGCAGCACGCAAACAGGCCCACAGUCAAAUCGACAGCAUUUGUGUCCUCCAGGGCAGUCUUUAUCA